ensembl:misc_RNA
CUGGCGACUGAUGUCCUCUGUUUAUCCACAGGAUGGGUGCAGCACAUGCAGUGGCAAUUUGGCCUUCCCUACGCUCGAUCUGUCCAUAUGCCUAAUUCUGACCCAUGAUAGAGUAUACUCCCUAUAUUAAUGUUAUUCUGUGAGAUAGAUGGGCCCAAAGAAAAAUCCCUCAACUCUUUGGGUGUU